ensembl:lncRNA
UGUUUUUGCUGUUAUGGGCUUCCCUGGUGGCUCAGAUGGUAAAGAAUCUGCCUGCAUUGCAGGAGACCUGUGUUUGACCCCUGGGUUGGGAAGAUCCCCUGGAGAAGGGAAUGGCAAUCCACUCCAGUAUUCUUGCCUAGAGAAUUCCAGGGACAGAGGAGCCGGGUGGGCUACAGUUCAUGGACUCACAAAGAGUCAGACAUGACUGAACAACCACACUUUCAAUUCACUUUGUUGUUGUAGCUAGAAAAUAUUUUUUGCCCCCAAAUUGUAAAGAUUUCUCCUUUAUGUUGUUUUUGAAGUUUCAUCAUUUCAGAUUUUACCUUUAAGUCUGUGGCCUAUUGUGAGAUUUUGUUGUGGGGCUGUUUUUUUUUUUGUUGUUGUUAGCUAUUUUCUAUGGUGCAAAGCAUGGAUAAAAAUUCAUUUUUUUCCCAUAGUGAUAGCCAGCUUUAGAAAUUAACAUGCUGUCUUCACUGAAUCACCUUCGUAUCUUAGUGAAAAUAAUCAGUCGACCACAUACAUAACAAUCUAUUUUGGACUUCAGUAUUUUUCACUGAAUUAUUUAUUUGACAAAAACAUCACACUGUCUUACAUAUGCUAGUUUUUUUAAGUCAGGUAGAGAUUAAGUUUUCCAACUUGUCUUUUUCAAUAUGUUUUUCAUUAUGUUUCAAUACAUUUGCCUAUUCAUCAUCGGUGCUGUAGAAUGUCAAUCAGGCCAAAUUAGUUGAUAGAUGUGCUCAGGUAUACUAUAUACUGUCAAAUUAAUGUGCUUCAUUUCAAAUGAAGCAUGGCAAUUGAUUGAAUUGCCUCUUUAACAAACUAUUUUGUUGAAAUAGUUCUCAUAUGUCAAAUACUAGAAUGAGAACAGGAUGCAGGGGAUAAGUUGGAUCAGAAAGCCAAUGAUCUGGCCAAUGUAAAAAUCAACUAUAUGUAAGGAGAUUCUGUUCUCUGAGACACUUUCAAAUUCUAUUUCUACAAUACUUCUGUAGUACUUUGAGACAGUCGAAGAGAAAGGGUCUAUUCAUGGGGAAUAAUUUAUUAAUUUAUCCUAUACCCAUGUUGUGAAUUAAUACAUUUUCACUUGGGAAAGAAUGUCCCAAGUUUUGAGAUACUGUGUUUUGGUGGGAAUUGUUUGCCAAUUUUUUUUUUUUGCAAUUUUUUGCAAUUGUUUGCCCCAUAUUUUCCCCCCAAGAUAAAGUACAUAUUGCUACAUGGAAAGUAACCAAGGAAUGACUUUUGCUUUUGCCCAAAUGGCAAAGUGAAGUUUUGUUUAUUUAUGAAAUCUCUUGACACUUGUGGGCUAUUCUGAAAUGAGACACGUGAUGGUGAGUUAGGAAUAAUGCCAAAUUGUGUUUAAUUACACUAUUUCCUCAAGGAAAAGUUCCAAGAGAGUAGAGCUAAAAUUAAGCAUUAAAAUGUUUAGUUUUACUACAUCAAUGUUAACAAGAUGUUUUAACUACUCUGAAUUCCUCUCUCAAGGAUAUGUUGUAAGUUGGAAAAUCACCUCUGAAUAUCCAAAACUUAGUAGAGUACAUCAUGAGAAACCCUGGGGUGGAGGAAGCACAAGCUGGAAUCAAUAUUGCCAGGAGAAAUAUCAACCUCAGUUUAUGCAGAUGACACCACCCUUAUAGCAGAAAGGGAAGAAGAACUAAAGAGCUUAUUGAUGAAGUGAAAGAGGAAAGUGAAAAAGUUGGCUUAAAACUCAACAAUCAGAUAACUAAGAUCAUGGCAUCUGGUCCCAUCACUUCAUGGCAAAUAGAUGAGGAAACAGUGGAAACAGUGGCAGACUUUAUUUUUGGGGGGCUCCAAAAUCACUGAAGAUGGUGAUUGCAGCCAUGAAAUUAAAAGACACUUGUUCCUUGGAAGAAAAGUUAU